CCUACGGGGGACAGCAGUGGGGAAUAUUGGACAAUGGGGGGAACCCUGAUCCAGCGACGCCGCGUGAGUGAAGAAGUAUUUCGGUAUGUAAAGCUCUAUCAGCAGGGAAGAAAGAAAUGACGGUAUCUGACUAAGAAGCCCCGGCUAACUACGUGCCAGCAGCCGCGGUAAUAAGUAGGGGGCAAGCGUUAUCCGGAUUUAAUGGGGUUAAAGGGAGCGUAGACGGCGAUGCAAGUCUGACGUGAAAGGCGGGGGCCCAACCCCCGGACUGCUUUGGAAACUGUAGGGCUGGAGUGCGGUAGAGGUAAGGGGAAUUCCUAGUGUAGCGGUGAAAUGCGUAGAUAUUAGGAGGAACACCAGUGGCGAAGGCGGCUUACUGGACUGUAACUGACGUUGAGGCUCGAAAGCGUGGGGAGCAAACAGGAUUAGAUACCCGAGUAGUC
rnacentral:rRNA from 1 species